rnacentral:rRNA from 1 species
UACGGAGGGAGCUAGCGUUGUUCGGAUAUACUGGGCGUAAAGCGCACGUAGCGGCGCCGUAAGUCAGGGUGAAAGUCCCGGAGCUCAACUCCGGAACUGCCCUUGAAACUGCAGUGCUAGAAUCUUGGAGAGGAGACUGGAAUUUGACGGUGUAGCGGUAGAAAUGCGUAGAUAUCGUAAGGAAGACCAGUGGCGAAGGCGGGU